CACCGUGGGAGGGGCGCCCCGGAGGGCAGGGAGCUGCCUCGGGUGUGGGGGACCUCACGGCUUUCCUUCUGAUGGCUGCUCUCUGAGAACAAACAUCCUCUGUCCUUCGACCAUCCUCUCCUGUUGUCUCCGUCUCAGAUGAUGAAACCGUGGUCGCUGGUGCCCAGGCGGUGCGGACAGCGGGUUCCUGCACCUCCAUAGGCUCCUAGGCUCGGAUGAAGACCGAUUUUCCUUCCUUGACGCAGCCCUGUGGGGAGGCACGGCUGAGGCUGACCGAGCGGCCCGAGUCCAGCGUGCUCUGUCUGAGAAGCCACAGUGUUCCAAAGGACUCCUCCUACAGUGCUCUUCUCCUUUGCCUUUGAGGACCACGCUCAGGCCAGGAAUGCAGCCCUUGGCAGAGCUCCCAGAGCGCCCGCAAGGAGGAUGCGGGUGUUUUCCGCAACAUCAAACUCCAAGAGUCAGGGAUGUUCCUUAACAACCUGCUAUGGAUUGACCGCGAAUUUAUUUAAGCCCUCCCUGAACCUGUUUAUGUUUCAUUAAACUCUUUUAUUGAUCCUCUUAA